rnacentral:lncRNA from 1 species
GUAAAUAUGAGCCGCCAGAAGAAACGCUGCAAUACAAAACAGAAACACAUGUACGGGCAGGAAAAAAAAAUGCAAAAAGAAGAGAACAAAAAAAAAAAAAAAAAAGAACUUCAGAGAGGAAGAGGCUGCAAAGUCCGGUGGUGCACAGACAGCUCCAUCUUUAGGACAGGAAGACUACAGGAGGGAAGGAAGAUACACCCCUCCUCGUUAUUACUGAGAUUUUGCCAAGGAGAGAUUCCCUUUGCAACAAUUUUGCAGGAGGUGGGUGCAUGCAUGCUCCCCAGUCCUCCCCAGCAGUUGCAUUUUCACACAGCAGCAAUGGAUGGACAAUUCUGGGACCUGCUUCCAGGGGCUGGUGGUGGGCAAUGCGUCGUGCACCACCGCCUGCAACUGCUGCAAAACACUGCAGAAUGCCAAACCCAUGCGAAGCUGCAUUUUGAAGAGGAGUAACUCUUCAGUGGUGCAAAAAGGAAAAAUGAAGUUGCUUACUGAAUCAUCUGUGCCACAUCUCGGAGCACGAUUUGUAGACCAAAAGCAAAACAGAGGCAGGAAAAUGCUUUCAGAUUGGCACCAAGAUGCCUGCGCAAUGCCGGGCUUUGCAAAAGGCUUUUGCAGAGCAGCAAUAUCUCCUUGUUGCUGCUGCUGGGUUGGGUUUCAGCGCACAGUUGCACUGAGGCCAAGUUCCUCCCAUUUACCUUCACAGCCCACAGCAGCUAUUUUCCCAUAAUAUCCCAUGCUGGCAACGUCAUGCUGCAUUUUGAGGCACCUUGUCCUAACUCUGAUAGAAGUCAGUGCUGGAAAUGGAAAGAUUUGUUUGCAGGAAUGCAGGGACCCUGUUCAUCUGGGGGUUCCAGGAUGCAAUCUUAAAGGCAUGAUUAACAGAAUACUGGCUGCUUGACUCUAAAAAUGUGUUUUUUUUUCCCCAAAGUGCUAAUGAAGUUAUAAAGGGGUUGGGUGGAGGGGUGGAUUCCAAGGCACAAAGUGAAUCCCAUUUCUUUAGGGCUUUUUACCCCUACCUUGGCCAGAUCCUGCGGUAGGAUUGGAUCGAGGAAUCCUCAGUUCCAAAGAGUUGUUCCCUUUUUGGCAAAGGUGGCCACUCUGGUUGCG